GACGAACGCUGGCGGCGUGCCUAAUACAUGCAAGUCGAACGCAGUGGGGACGGGUGAGUAACACGUGGGUAACCUCCCAUCAGAGGGGAUAACACUUGGAAACAGGUGCUAAACCGCUACUGAUGGAUGGACCCGCGGUGCAUUAGCUAGUUGGUGAGGUAACGGCGCACAAAGGCCACGAUGCAUACCCGACCUGAGGGGUGUGUUGGCCCCACUGGUACUGAGACACGGGCCAGACUCCUACGGGAGGAAGCAGUAGGGAAGCUUCGGCAAUGGGCGAAAGUCUGACCGAGCAACGCCGCGUGAGUGAAGAAGGUUUUCGGAUCGUAAAACUCUGUUGUUAGAGAGGCGGUAUCUAACCAGAAAGCCACGGCUGACUACGUGCCAGCAGCCGCGGUAAUUC
rnacentral:rRNA from 1 species